rnacentral:tRNA from 1 species
GUUGGAGUUGUGGCUCAAAGGUAGAGCACUUGCCUAGCAUGCGUGAGGCACUGGGUUCAAUCCUCAGCCCAACA